rnacentral:rRNA from 1 species
GACGGAGGAUGCAAGCGUUAUCCGGAAUGAUUGGGCGUAAAGCGUCCGCAGGUGGCAGUUCAAGUCUGCUGUCAAAGACCGGGGCUUAACUUCGGAAAGGCAGUGGAAACUGAACAGCUAGAGUAUGGUAGGGGCAGAGGGAAUUCCUAGUGUAGCGGUGAAAUGCGUAGAGAUCAGGAAGAACAUCGGUGGCGAAGGCGCUCUGCUGGACCAUAACUGACACUCAGGGACGAAAGCUAGGGGAGCGAAUGGG